rnacentral:sRNA from 1 species
AUGUUGCAAAUAAUUGAGGUAUUCUGCUCAGUGUGUCAGACAUGAGAUGAAAAUAAGUAUGGCAAUAUGUGUUACACGUAAUAGCACCCCCAACAGGACUGUUCAACAUAGUACAAAUUUUUAUUUACUCGACUUAUCAAAAAAAAAAAUUUAUUUACUCAAUAGUCUUAAUCCCUUCUGAUUCUAUAUAUUUUCUUUUACUGGGAAAUUUUAAUGAGUGGAACCCUCAUGUCAAACAUUCUUGAUUGUGCACAUCAACUAUGACUUCUAUUGAGCAGUUAAAUUACUUUUUAUAAGAGUGUGAUUGCUUGGCGUAGGGCUGUGAUGGCUCGGUGCUUCUUGAUGACUCAAAAGAUGGGAGUGAGAAAAAUGCCUUUCCCAAUCGCAAAUCACUUAGAGGUUUUGAAGUCAUCGACAAUAUAAAGGCUGAUGUUGAAAGAUUUUGCCCAUCAACUGUUUCUUGUACUGAUAUAUUGACUCUUGCAGCAAGGGAAGCUAUUCAUCAGGUAUUUACAACACUUUAAAUAUAACUGUUAGCAGCAGCAGUCCUAAGAAUAUUUUUCAGGAUAGUCAUUAUAGACCAAAAUUUAAUAAAAAGAGAACUUUAUAUAUUGACUAAAACACACACAUAGCUUGACAAUUUUCUUAUAGGAAUUUUCUUAUUUUAAAAUUUGCAUGAUAGCCUUAUUAUUAAUGUUGCAGUUACAUCUCUUUCAAAAAUUUAGUCAGAUAAAAAAUUUAUUGAGAUUUUUCGUUUUGUUUGUAAGGACCUAGUAUAUUGUUAAAUGGGCCAAAAUUUACAAAUAAAGUUUGGCUACAGACUUAGUUGUAGCCUAAAACUACAACUCUCACUAAAAAAAUUAACGUGAUUAUAUAUUUUGAAAAUGUAACAAUUGAAUUGCAUGUUUUUUAUGUUUUUAAGACACAUGUCAAAUUUUAUGUCAAUCAAAUGUUAUUUAUUAUUUGAUCUAUAGACUUAUAUUUUUAUUUAAUUUUAGAAUACAAAAACUCAAAAUUUAAAAAUUUGAUUAAUGACAUAAUUAUUGAUCUUUGAUUUUCUUGAAAUUUUGUAAAUAUAGAAAAUAUAAGAAAAAAAUAUAAUCCAAUUGUGAAUUUUUCACAAUUCAGUCCAAUUAAUAUAUAUAUAUAUAUAUAUUAAGUAGAGUUAGAGUUUUAGUCUACAAACAAGUUUGUUGUCAAAUUUUGUCCAAAAAUCAAUCAUGUUAUACCUAAAAAAUUUUAGGGUGGUCACAAAUAUUUUUUAAAGAUAAUAAAAUUAUAAAUUUUUAACAUUUAUAUAUAAUAAUUAAUUAUUUUGCCACGUCAGGUGAUCUUGUGACCUCCCUAAACUACAUGUGGAGCCCGCCAAUGACUGUUAGAUAACUAUGCAAUCCAGUUCCUUAUUUUGCUGAUUGUUUUAUUUCUGUUCUCUUUUUCUUUCAACUUUCUGAUUAGGUUGGAGGACCUUAUUGGCGUGUUCCAUUAGGCCGACGAGAUGGAACAACAGCAAGUGAGAUGGAUGCUAAUACACAAUUACCAUCACCUGUGGAGCCUCUACAGAACAUCACUGCCAAGUUCAUAUCAAAGGGUCUUGACUUGAAGGAUGUUGUAGUCCUCUCAGGUUAUUGUUCUUUACCAUAUCUUGAUUUGGGCUGACUAAAAGUACACUAGCAAGUAUUCAUCUAAAAAGAGCCGGAAAAUUACUCUAGGAAGUGACUGGUCUACAUUUCCAUGCUUGACUACUUAAGGUGUUUUAUAGAAGGAACUGCUAGGAAACAAUAUCUUAUCAAAUUUCCAAUGAAAAGCCAUACUUCAGGCUGGUAGAACCACUAGGAAAGAUGGACCUGUCAACAAAAAUAUAUGCUUUAACGUAAAUCAUAUUAUCUAUUUGACACGAUAAGAGUUAUUUUAAAUUCUAAGAAAAAAUUAUUGGGCUGAUUUUCUAAUGCCAUACAAAGAAAGUGGACUGAUUGAAUUUUCAUGCAUGGGAUAUUCCAAGCACUCAAGCACACCCUAUGGUCCUUACUAAAUGUUCUUAACAUAAAGAGCUUUACUGCUUCUGUCUGUUUUAGGAGGACACACCAUAGGCUUUGCCCAAUGCUUUACUUUCAAGAGGAGACUCUUUGACUUCAAAGGCUCUGGCAAACCUGAUCCUUCACUUGAUCCUUCAAGCCUCCCGAACUUGCAAAGCAAAUGCCCCAAUAAAGAUGCAUCAAAUAGCAACCUUGCUCCUCUUGACUCAAGUGCUGACAGGUUUGAUAAUGCGUAUUAUACAAACCUCAAGAGCAACACCGGGCUUCUUGAAUCUGAUCAAGCACUAAUGGGGGAUCCACAAACUGCUGCAAUGGUUAACUUUUAUAGUACUAUGAAUCAAUAUUACUUUUAUAAUGACUUUUCAGCAUCGAUGGUAAAGCUUGGUAAUGUUGGGGUGCUCACAGGGCAAAAUGGUCAAAUUAGGAAGAAAUGUGGGUCUGUGAAUUAAGUUAGUGUUUGUAAUCUUAGUUACUGUAUGGAACUUCUUUACUAUGAUUAAGGUUGCAAUAAAGGUCAUCGGCUUAUAAGAUAUUCUAAUCGUCUCACAUCUUUUGAGUGCUAAUAUAGAUGAUAUAGUCAAGAGUCUUGUAGCUCAAUUGGUACUUCCUAGACUUACUUAUGAAAACAACUAAGGAUCAAAUCUUUCUUCCAUCGUAACUAUUAAAUUAAGUCAUUAACAAAAAGAAUAUAGAUCAUCUUCGCUACGAAGUACAAUUCAUUACCAUCUAUUUGGUUUAAAACUAAUCCAAGUGUUAAAAAAUAAAAAAUAAAAAAUAACCUAAUCGAAGUACCAUAUGGCCAUCUGAUUCUAAUAUCUAAGUGGAAUUGACAUUUGAAUAAUUAUGUAAUCUUGUUGAGCAGUCACAGGUGAAAGAUUUUGAUACUCAUAUCAAAUGUAUCCUAUUGCAGUCAGAAUCAAAUUACAAGAUUGGCAAGAACAAGUGCAGUAAUAUAUGGAUGUGCCUAUUUAUAGCUACAUAUAUGAUGCUGCAUGACUACAAUUAACCCCAAUCAUAUGGUUGUGUUCUAAUGUCUGAUGACCAAAAAUAUCUUCUCGUGACAGAAUUCAACAAGACAUACCGUUUGCAUAUGCAUUAAAACAUUCAUCAUCCUUAUCUUAACUCUGAUAUAGAUUACAGAGCACAAAAAAACAAUUAAAGUUAUUGGGGUCAACUCCCCUUAUAUACACUGAUUAAAAGUUGCACAUUAGAAACCAUCUCUCUUGAAUCUCACUUGUUAUGUACUAAUCAACAGUUCAACACUAUCUUUUUCCAUUUCCUCUUUUCUUAACUUCAUUCAUCUUGACACACACAUCUGGAUGGUACUCAUCUAAUGAAAUAUUUGGUUUACUGCUAAUAAUUUGUAGAUCGUAAUGUGGCCAAUGAGCUUUAGCUCAACUGGCACCAUGAGGAUGAGGUCUUAAAUUCAAGAUCCACUGGAUGCAUGUGUAACUUAUCAAUCAAAGAAAAAUUUGAUCGUGCAUGACUCCCACUCAACUUAGUCCAAACCCUAAUGACCCUUAAAAGAGCAUUUACAAUUUUUUUUAUGUGCUAAAGACAAAGCUUACAAGACUUGGUGCGUUCAUGACUUUAAAAAUUCAACCAUUAUGGUUUUAUUGGCUACAUGAAUCAUGCAUAAGGAGCAGUUAAAAGUAAUUGCCUUUUGUAUGCAAAGUUGCAAAAUAGUCAUGGUAAUGGCCCACUAAAGAUCAAGCCUGACAUCAGGGACUGAACAUUUUCUGUACACCACUCACCACUGUAACAUAUUUUAUUAUUCUCUUCUUUCUAGUUUGGCAUGAAGAAGGGAAAAGUUUGUAGUUGAGAGAGAAGACCACGCUCAAAUGCACUAAUAAGAUUCAAAAAAGAAGCCGACAAGGAGUGCUUGGAUUCAAAAAAAAGAAUAUAAAGAAAAGCUGGUAGAUGCCUGACUAAAACUUUGUACAGCAGCCACAUUGAGAUUUCUGUCCUAGUCUCACAAAACAACUUUUAUCACUCCUUCCUCCUCCUUUUUAUAUAUUUGGAUCUGCCAAAAUUAUUCCUUAUCAUGAACUAUCAUAUUCAUCUUCAACAUGAGCACUUAGAUCCAUUAAUGAAACUUGUCUAUUAUUUCAAAAAAAAAAAAAAAAAAAACGUGAUCAAUUUGAGCCAUUCAUUCAAAAAAAUAAAACCCAUUUAGAGGAGGACAUAUUCUCUGCUUCCAGAUCAGAUUCUCUACCGACCCUUGACUUCUAUGUGGUGUUGCAUAAUUGACACCUUUGGCUUUGAAUCAUUUAAAAUUCAAUUCUCUUCAAUCCAGUAAUUGAAGUAUUUUUUGGCUUACUUAAGGGUAAUGUUUUCAAAUUUACUAGUGGUAGGGGAAGUUAUCAGUUUUCUUGAGGUGUGUUUUGUUUUCAUACAAUAUACUAGUGGUCAGAUUGGAACUUUUUCCGCUACUUGUUUAUCUAUUAUGGUCAUGAUAUAUUCUGCAAAUCUUUCCGCUACUUGUUUAUUUUUAUAUAAACCUACCACUAUUAGUCACUUUUAUUUUUUAAGGUGUAGAGAUACACUUUUCGUGCCAUAAAAUUUUCCACAAUUUUAAUGUGGCUAAUUAUAAGUGGUAGAUCAUUGUAAAAGAUUGUCCACAACAUUUAGAGUGAAUCACGUCAACAACUUCAGACAAAAUGCAUGGCUGUAAAAGAACUAUUAUUUUCUACUACUCAUAACUCACCACUUCAACAAGUCCAGACAGCUAGUUAUGUCCCUCCAUUUAUUCAUUCGUAAUGGGCUAACUUACAUAGCAAUGAUGCAUGCCAAAAGUAGAUCUGACAAAAUUGGACCAAAACCUGCUAACUUGCUUAAACCCAAAGGAAAAAUAUACAUAGGGUAGGAUUUUUUGGAACCAUGAAAAAAUGGGUCGACCCUUUUUAACACAUCAAAAUUUUGUAUUGAUUUUUUUUUUUUUUUUUUUUCACUCUCUAGCUCAAGUUAUCUCUCUUUCCUCUUCUCACUUUCUUUUUUAACAGAUGGGUGCUCUUUUUGGGUGGAAAAAAAUACAAUUGGAUUUUAAAGUUCUCUUUUAUGGCAUGUAAUCUAUGCAUUCCAUCAAUUGUUGUUGCUUUUGAAUCAUCUUUUAGUAUUAGGGGUAAAAUUUUUACUCUCUAUAGAUUGUCUUUUACUAGAAAUUGUAGAAGCUUUGAUUUGCGCUUGAAAUUAUAUCGAUGAAUUUGAAGAUAAUAUUUAAUUCAUAUAUAAAAUAGUCAUAGUUAAAAAAAAAUAAAAAAUAAAAAAUUGUUUUUUAUUGACCCAUUUAUAUUGUAUACUAAAAUUAUAUUAAAUUUUGUAUUGGAGAUGAAAAACUAGUAAAGGAUUAUUUUUAAGUAUUUGGGGAUAUAGGCUUUUUUUAAGAACUUGAAUGAAACUUGUCACUUCAAUUUCAAGAGACGAGAUUAAAAAACGGCUAUUUCUUAAAAUUACUUUCAAACAUUGUCAUUUUGCUAAAUAUUUUUUUUAUAGUAUUAUUCUUCAAAAAUGGUCCAAUAAGAUAUUGAAAUUAAUCUUAAUCAAAAAUCAUAAAAUUGAUAUGUCUUAGAAAUGAAUUUCAAAGGAAAUUGUUUCCAUCGUGUACUUGAAGAAGAGAAGAGCUAGCUCAGUGUAUAAAGCCUUUUGUUUUACACUGUGCAAUGAAGAGCAAUGCUAGAAUAUUAUCAGUAGGAGCAUCAAUUUUGGCUAAUUCUUUUGUGGACUGUUUUUUUUGCUGGAUCAAAAGGGAUCCUAACUUUGUAGCUCAUGAACUAAGCAGGUAUGUUUCAUACUCAAAUAUCUUGUAUUUUUGUAAUUGUGUAUCCCUCCCUCCUACAGUCAUGGAGGCUUGGGAAAGAGAUGUAUCUCUUUUGCUCCAUCAAUGAAAAUUUUGAAUUUAUUAAAAAUAAAAUAAAACAUGUUCUCUUCUUGUUUUUGAUCCUUCAGUGGAAUAUUUAUCCAUCAAAAAUAAGUAUAGUCAUUUUGUGUGAGGAAUUGAAAAGUUAGUUUUUUAGAAAACAAUAAUCAAUAUGACAGAUUGCUUGGAUAGUUGAAAUCAUCUAUCAAGACAUUGUAUUUUUAACAAAUAUAUAAUGAAAAAUAUCAAAAAUUAGAUGAUAUAAAAAAUGUUCAUAACUGCUCUUUACAUCUUUUGAAGAUUUUGGUCUUUCACUCUUUUCUUAUUGUUCAACUUAACAUACAACUGUAAAACAUAUUGAGAAGGAAGGAUAGCCUUCAUUGAGGUGGUGGAAAAGUAAGAGAAUGAAAAGAGGGGCACGCGGUCCAAUUGGCUUAAAGUUUUAACAUAAUUUUUUUAACUUUUUGCUAUUAGAAUUAGAAUAAUGUUUAAACUUUUUGUCCUUUAAUAAGUUAGACCUAUCCCGCACCUAAAAAAACAACUUUAAGUGAAUGAUGAUCAGCCCCAUAGUGGCGGUAAGCAGCCUAGGCACACGCACCAUACGCUGCAUAGAAAAAUCCAUUUCCCAUUAGUAAUUGGGAUAAAAAAAAAAAUUAAAAUUAAAAAAUUUAUAGACACAAAAUUUUACGCUCGGUUGAUAUAGAAAAUUAUUAAUAGUAAAUUCAGAUAAAAACAAGCAAAUUCAACCAAGAAGAUUGUUAAUAGUAAGCUCAAAUAAAAAUAAGUAAAAACUUGCUGUCGACCCAGCUGUGAUAAAAAAAAUAAAAAAAAAAUAAAAAAAUGUUGCAAAUUUUUUUUGUGUGUACUCAGCAUUCUUGAGGAAGAAACUAGAUGGAAAUCAAGAAUACCAUGUUUUUAGAGAGUUCACAUAGGACAAGACAGAAGAAGACAUGGUUUUUAGGGGUUGAUGAUUCAAAUAGCCCCUAGUCUAUUAUCUAUUAAUUUAAGUUCUUUGCUACUUCUGGCAAAGAGACAUGGCAUUGGCAAUAACAAAUUGUCAUGUAGCAAGGAUAUUUUGGGGAUUAUCGAAAUUCAUAUUUAUAUAUAUUGCAAAUGUUGGUAAGUAUAUGUAGAGAAAACUCGAUCUUGAUCAUCUAAUUUACCAAAAAUAAAUUGCCAUUGGUCAUUUUUACUAACCAAAAAGUAAAUUAUGCCGACCAGUGUAUCAAAAAUUAGAUAAAGAAUAGGAAAUCAUAUCAUGAUGAGCAGCAAAUAUUUCUAAAUAAAAACAAAGCAGCUGAAACUUCAAGUACUCUCUCUCUCUGAGUUAUAACUUACAAGGUUUCAUAGGCAUGGAACCUUGGUACAUCUUUGUCAUUCCUAUUCCUAUUUUUAUACUACAUAGAAAGUUGUAAGCUGUCAAAGUGGUUUCUCAUAAUUUCUUGCAGUAGCAGAAAAGGUCCUGAGAAAAACUACUCUCCCAUCCCAUCCCAUCCCAUCCCACCACUUUGAAAAAAGUUUUCCCUCAAAUCAUUCUCAAUUCCUCUCUCUCUCCAAAAAUUUUUUACCACAAAAAUCAAUUAUCUUUAAGGGUAAAAAAAAUUAGAAAAGAAACACCCAUCUAUUGUUUAUUUUUUGUUCUAAAGUCUAAACCUUUUGAACACCGAACACAAUCUCUUCCACUUUUUUCUCUCUUUCUAUGAACAGUACUUGAAAGCAUACACAAAAUCCUGAAAUUUUUUUUUUCUUCUUCAGAAUCUAAUAGAAUUCAUGAUUUCCAAACAAACCCACUUCUAGUUUUUCAUUGUCUCCCAUCUCUAUCACUCUCUCAAGCCCCUUAAACCUCUCAAAAACCCAAAAAAGACUGUUUUUUCUCUUUCUUUCUUGUAAAGCCACAGUCAAAACUCACAUGUCGUCUACUACUACUACUACUACAACUCCAAAUCCAAUAGACCAACAACAACAACAACUGCCACCUCCAUCUCCAGAGGCUGUGACCCAGCAAGCCUACACAGCUCAUUCGGGUCACGGGUCGGUGGGUCCGGUUAUAGCUGUUCUUGCAGUGAUCACUAUUCUUGGAGUGAUAGCUGGGAUGAUCGGACGGCUCUGCUCGGGUCGGCGUAUCAUGGGUCAUGGACAGUACGACUUCGAGAGCUGGGUUGAGACCAAAUGCUCUUCUUGCCUCGACGGCAGAGUCGACCCUCCUCCGCCGCCACGUCAGCCACCUCCAGAUAUUUCUGAUCAGCCUUCGCCGGUGGAGAACCCUCAAGAGAUUAAGGAAGAAGAAGACGAAGAUGAAGAAGGUGAAGAAGAAGAAGAAGCUCAUCAUGAAAAUAAACAACAUGGACAUAAACAUGGUGAAUCUUCACAAGGGUUAUAG